rnacentral:rRNA from 1 species
UACGUAGGGGGCAAGCGUUGUCCGAAUUUAUUGGGCGUAAAGAGCGUGUAGGCGGCCAAACAGGUCAGCUGUGAAAACUCGAGGCUCAACCUCGAGACGUCGGUUGAAACCGUUUGGCUAGAGUCCGGAAGAGGAGCACGGAAUUCCUGGUGUAGCGGUGAAAUGCGCAGAUAUCAGGAGGAACACCAGCGGCGAAGGCGGUGCUCUGGGCCGGAACUGACGCUGAGGAGCGAAAGCGUGGGGAGCGAACAGG